rnacentral:rRNA from 1 species
CCUACGGGGGGCUGCAGUGGGGAAUAUUGGACAAUGGGGGAAACCCUGAUGCAGCGACGCCGCGUGAGUGAAGAAGUAUUUCGGUAUGUAAAGCUCUAUCAGCAGGGAAGAAAAUGACGGUACCUGACUAAGAAGCCCCGGCUAACUACGUGCCAGCAGCCGCGGUAAUACGUAGGGGGCAAGCGUUAUCCGGAUUUACUGGGUGUAAAGGGAGCGUAGACGGCGCAGCAAGUCAGACGUGAAAGGCCAGGGCCCAACCCCGGGACUGCAUUUGAAACUGUCGAACUGGAGUGCAGGAGAGGUAAGCGGAAUUCCUAGUGUAGCGGUGAAAUGCGUAGAUAUUAGGAGGAACACCAGUGGCGAAGGCGGCUUACUGGACUGUAACUGACGUUGAGGCUCGAAAGCGUGGGGAGCAAACAGGAUUAGAUACCCUAGUAGUC